rfam:Megasphaera sp. TPII 135-E contig00001, whole genome shotgun sequence.
UGAGUAUGAAAGACAAUCGCUGGUGGAAUACAUCAGAGGAAAGUCCGAGCUCCAUAGGGCAGGAUGCCGGAUAACGCCCGGCGAAGGUGACUUUAGGGAUAGUGCCACAGAAAUGUGUACCGCCACGUAUGUGGUAAGGGUGGAACGGUGCGGUAAGAGCGCACCAGCGGUAUGGUAACAUACCGGCUAGGUAAACCCCAUCUGGAGCAAGACCGAAUAGGGAAGAGAUGAAGCGGCCCGCUGAUCUUCCGGGUUGUGUCGCUGGAUCAUGUCAGUAAUGGCAUGACUAGAUAGAUGAUUGUCGCUGCAGUAGCAGAACAAAACUCGGCUUAUUGAUUACUCAUACA